rnacentral:rRNA from 1 species
GACGAACGCUGGCGGCGUGCCUAAUACAUGCAAGUCGAGCGGACUUGAAGGAGUGCUUGCACUCUUGAGAGUUAGCGGCGGACGGGUGAGUAACACGUAGGCAACCUGCCCUCAAGACUGGGAUAACUACCGGAAACGGUAGCUAAUACCGGAUAAUUUAUUACAUAGCAUUAUGUGAUAAUGAAAGACGGAGCAAUCUGUCACUUGGGGAUGGGCCUGCGGCGCAUUAGCUAGUUGGUGGGGUAACGGCCCACCAAGGCGACGAUGCGUAGCCGACCUGAGAGGGUGAACGGCCACACUGGGACUGAGACACGGCCCAGACUCCUACGGGAGGCAGCAGUAGGGAAUCUUCCGCAAUGGGCGAAAGCCUGACGGAGCAACGCCGCGUGAGUGAUGAAGGUUUUCGGAUCGUAAAGCUCUGUUGCCAAGGAAGAACGUCUCAUAGAGUAACUGCUAUGAGAGUGACGGUACUUGAGAAGAAAGCCCCGGCUAACUACGUG